GAUGAACGCUAGCGGCAGGCCUAAUACAUGCAAGUCGAACGGUGUCUUCGGACAUAGCGGCGCACGGGUGCGUAACACGUAUGCAACCUACCUUACAUUGGGGGAUAGCCUUUCGAAAGGGAGAUUAAUACCGCAUAAGACAGUAGCUGGGCAUCCAGCAGCUGUUAAAGAUUUAUCGAUGUAAGCUGGGCAUGCGUCCAAUUAGCUAGUUGGUGAGGUAACGGCUCACCAAGGCAAUGAUUGGUAGGGGAACUGAGAGGUCAGUCCCCCACACUGGCACUGAGAUACGGGCCAGACUCCUACGGGAGGCAGCAGUAGGGAAUAUUGGGCAAUGGACGCAAGUCUGACCCAGCCAUGCCGCGUGCAGGAUGAAGGCGUUAUGCGUUGUAAACUGCUUUUAUACAGGAAGAAACGACUCUUGCGAGAGGCAUUGACGGUACUGUAUGAAUAAGCACCGGCUAACUCCGUGCCAGCCGCCGCAGUAAUAC
rnacentral:rRNA from 1 species